rnacentral:rRNA from 1 species
AGUGAACGCUGGCGGUAGGCCUAACACAUGCAAGUCGAACGGCAGCACAGUAAGAGCUUGCUCUUACGGGUGGCGAGUGGCGGACGGGUGAGGAAUACAUCGGAGUCUACUUUUUCGUGGGGGAUAACGUAGGGAAACUUACGCUAAUACCGCAUACGACCUACGGGUGAAAGCGGGGGAUCUUCGGACCUUGCGCGAUUGAAUGAGCCGAUGUCGGAUUAGCUAGUUGGCGGGGUAAAGGCCCACCAAGGCGACGAUCCGUAGCUGGUCUGAGAGGAUGAUCAGCCAAACUGGAACUGAGACACGGUCCAGACUCCUACGGGAGGCAGCAGUGGGGAAUAUUGGACAAUGGGCGCAAGCCUGAUCCAGCCAUACCGCGUGGGUGAAGAAGGCCUUCGGGUUGUAAAGCCCUUUUGUUGGGAAAGAAAAGCAGCAGGUUAAUACCCCGCUGUUCUGACGGUACCCAAAGAAUAAGCACCGGCUAACUUCGUG